AACGAACGCUGGCGGCAGGCCUAACACAUGCAAGUCGAGCGGGGGAGCAAUCCCUAGCGGCGGACGGGUUAGUAACGCGUGGGAACAUACCCUUUGGUACGGAAUAGCCUCGGGAAACUGAGAGUAAUACCGUAUGUGCCCUUCGGGGAAAGAUUUAUCGCCAAAGGAUUGGCCCGCGUUGGAUUAGGUAGUUGGUGGGGUAAUGGCCUACCAAGCCUACGAUCCAUAGCUGGUUUGAGAGGAUGAUCAGCAACACUGGGACUGAGACACGGCCCAGACUCCUACGGGAGGCAGCAGUGGGGAAUCUUAGACAAUGGGCGCAAGCCUGAUCUAGCCAUGCCGCGUGAGCGAUGAAGGGCCUUAAGGGGUUGUUAAAAGGCUCUUUCAGAUGGGAAGAUAAAUGACGGUACCAUCAGAAGAAGCCCCGGCUAACUCCGUGCCAGCAGCCGCGGUAAU
rnacentral:rRNA from 1 species